rnacentral:lncRNA from 1 species
CUCUGCCACGUCCCUAUUCCUAUCUCUCCUCUCCCAAAUUCCCCCUUUCCGCCUGCUAACUCUCAGCCCCACGCCCACUCCCCAUUCUUCCACAUUCCUCCUCCCUCAAGCACCCUCCUGCGUCCCUGUAAUCCCAAACUCCGUUCCUCCUUUAUUUUUGUGCCUUUCUCAGAGUUCUGGCCCCUGCCUCCCGCCCUCAACUCCUUCCCAUCCCUUCUCCCUCAAGCCCUUCUCCAGCCCAGCCAGUCCUUUUCUGGAACCCCUCUCCACUGGCCCAACCCACGCCAGCCCCCCUCUUCCUGAACCCCCAACUCUAGCAGGAUCACAGUACCGCUUUCACCCUUAGAAAGCCUGUGUGUUUCCAUGCUUGGACGUUCGAGUUCCUCCAACAGCCUGGGUUGGCACAG